rnacentral:rRNA from 1 species
AUGACGGCCUCUGAGAGGGAGAUGCUCGCGGAAGACCUGGAGCUGUUCGUUGCGGAAAUCCCCGAUCACAUCGUCGAGCUCUUGAAGAAGCAGAGCUGCGCCACCCGCCCCGGCGAAAUCGAGAUCGACGUCCACGCGUUGGACGACGCCGCCGCCGUCGAGUUACAGGAGCAGGUUAACAAGUUCGCUCGAGAGAAGAGGGCGGCGAAUCCGUCGACGCAAGAACGGCACCAAGACGGCCCUACGGUGAUGGCCGAAGAGGAAGAGGAGGACGAAGAAGUUGACAUCUGUGGCGGCGUCUCCCCCUUAGCGAUCGUGCCGCAACCUCUGCCGCAAGAACGGCACCAAGACGACCCUAAGGCCAUGGUCGAAGAGGAGGAAGAUGUUGACAUCUGCGGUGGCAUCUCCCCGUUACUGAUCGUGCUGGCACCUCUGCUGCUCGUCGAAGAUGAAACCGCCAACGGCAGCCCUAGCUCCAGCAGCAGCAGUUCAGAUACUGAUUCCAGCGACAGCGAUUCAGACACUGAUUCCGGCAGCACCGACUCAGGUUCAGAGCACUCCGGCGGCAGUGACUCAGAUUCUGAUUCCGACGAGAUCGGCAACAGUCCAGCACCGGCCAUCACACCUCCAACAUGUGAGCAGCUCGCCCGUGCUCUGGAAAGGCAGCGAAAGGAGGCCACGUCCCGGGCGAGGGAGAAGGCCCGUCAGGAGCUGCUCCAGAUGGAGAAGACGGCAAUGCCCGACGAUACCCUACACCGAGAGGAUCGGAAGAGGCUCGGCAUUGAUGAGUACAACACGGCGAAGCCCAACAACUUGUUGCGGCAGAUUGGACUCUACCUCAAGCUUGACGACUACUACUGGAAGCAGCAACGCCGUCAACGAGGAUUUAGAGGAAGGGGAGAUUCGGUCGUGAUAGUCGUUGCUAGCAAGGUGUUAUAG